AUUGAACGCUGGCGGCAGGCCUAACACAUGCAAGUCGAGCGGAUGAAGGGAGCUUGCUCCUGGAUUCAGCGGCGGACGGGUGAGUAAUGCCUAGGAAUCUGCCUGGUAGUGGGGGAUAACGUCCGGAAACGGGCGCUAAUACCGCAUACGUCCUGAGGGAGAAAGUGGGGGAUCUUCGGACCUCACGCUAUCAGAUGAGCCUAGGUCGGAUUAGCUAGUUGGUGGGGUAAAGGCCUACCAAGGCGACGAUCCGUAACUGGUCUGAGAGGAUGAUCAGUCACACUGGAACUGAGACACGGUCCAGACUCCUACAGGAGGCAGCAGUGGGGAAUAUUGGACAAUGGGCGAAAGCCUGAUCCAGCCAUGCCGCGUGUGUGAAGAAGGUCUUCGGAUUGUAAAGCACUUUAAGUUGGGAGGAAGGGCAGUAAGUUAAUACCUUGCUGUUUUGACGUUACCAACAGAAUAAGCACCGGCUAACCUCGUG
rnacentral:rRNA from 1 species